GACGAACGCUGGCGGCGUGCUUAACACAUGCAAGUCGAACGAGGUCCAUGUGAUGGCAACAUCACGGAAGACCUAGUGGCGAACGGGUGCGUAACACGUGAGGAACCUGCCCCGAUCUCUGGGAUAACAGUUGGAAACGACUGCUAAUACCGGAUACCGCUUCUGCAUCGCAUGGUGCGGAAACGAAAGAUUUAUCGGAUCGGGAGGGUCUCGCGGCCUAUCAGCUAGUUGGUGGGUAAAGGCCUACCAAGGCAUCGACGGGUAGCUGGUCUGAGAGGAUGAUCAGCCACACUGGGACUGAGACACGGCCCAGACUCCUACGGGAGGCAGCAGUGGGGAAUCUUGCGCAAUGGGCGAAAGCCUGACGCAGCAACGCCGCGUGGGGGAAGAAGGCUCUCGGGUUGUAAACCCCUUUCAGUAGGAACGAAAAUGACGGUACCUGCAGAAGAAGGUGCGGCCAACUACGUGCCAGCAGCCGCGGUAAUAGUACUCUA
rnacentral:rRNA from 1 species